rnacentral:rRNA from 1 species
AACGAACGCUGGCGGCAGGCUUAACACAUGCAAGUCGAGCGCAUCCUUCGGGGUGAGCGGCGGACGGGUGAGUAACGCGUGGGAACGUGCCCUCUUCUACGGAAUAGCCUCGGGAAACUGAGAGUAAUGCCGUAUACGCCCGCAAGGGGAAAGAUUUAUCGGAGGAGGAUCGGCCCGCGUUGGAUUAGGUAGUUGGUGGGGUAACGGCCUACCAAGCCGACGAUCCAUAGCUGGUUUGAGAGGAUGAUCAGCCACACUGGGACUGAGACACGGCCCAGACACCGAAGGAUGGGAGAAGGGGUGAUCCAGGAAAACCGGGGGGAUGCAGAAGGCACCCUGGCGGGGGAACAGAUUAAGGCGGAAGGAAGGAAAACAACUUAAAACCGGGAUGUUAUGACGGGAACAAAAGAAAAAACCCCGGCCAACCUCCUU